rnacentral:rRNA from 1 species
GAAGUCUGAACCAGCCAUGCCGCGUGAAGGAUGAAGGCGUUCUGCGUUGUAAACUUCUUUUGUUAGGGAAGAAACCGCCGAUUUCUAUUGGCGUUGACGGUACCUAAAGAAUAAGCACCGGCUAACUCCGUGCCAGCAGCCGCGGUAAUACGGAGGGUGCAAGCGUUAUCCGGAUUUACUGGGUUUAAAGGGUGCGUAGGCGGCUUAUUAAGUCAGUGGUGAAAUCCCGGGGCUCAACCUCGGAAUUGCCAUUGAUACUAUUGAGCUUGAAUUAUGUUGAGGUUGGCGGAAUACAACAUGUAGCGGUGAAAUGCUUAGAUAUGUUGUGGAACACCGAUUGCGAAGGCAGCUGGCUAAACAUAUAUUGACGCUGAUGCACGAAAGCGUGGGUAGCAAACGGGAUUAGAUACCCCGGUAGUCCACGCCCUAAACUAUGAUUACUCGUCAUUUGCGAUAUACCGUAAGUGACCAAGCGAAAGCAUUAAGUAAUCCACCUGGGGAGUACGUUCGCAAGA